rnacentral:lncRNA from 1 species
UUUCCUUGGGUUCACUGAAUUUAGUUUAGCAGAGUCGGGAAUAACUUCACAACUUCCCUUUCCAGCAAACGGAGGCUGAAAAGCCGUAGUGCGCUAGCGCGCCCUUCCAUUUUGAAGCCGGCCUAGCAACCAUCUCCAUCUAAUGGGUUAUAAUUCAAUACAUCGUUUUCUGCCGGAGUCAAGAAAGAGCCUCCCUCCUUGAAGUGGGCGCUUCGCGUCCUUGUCAAUUCAAGCAAACCCAUACAAUCUUAUUAAAAUCAUCAUUUUGUCGUAUUUACUCUUUAAUAUCCACCCCUCCUUUUGAUGGUUCAUGAAGGCACACAUGGGCGAUCGACUUCGUAAGGUUCAUGCCUAUUCAUGCAAUCCAAGGAUUCAGCUCCAACGGCU